CCCGGUAACGGGGAAAGGCGGGGGAUCUUCGGACCUCGCGCUAUGAGAUGAGCCUGCGUUAGAUUAGCUAGUUGGUAGGGUAAAGGCCUACCAAGGCGACGAUCUAUAGCUGGUCUGAGAGGACGAUCAGCCACACUGGGACUGAGACACGGCCCAGACUCCUACGGGAGGCAGCAGUGGGGAAUAUUGGACAAUGGGCGCAAGCCUGAUCCAGCAAUACCGCGUGUGUGAAGAAGGCCUUAGGGUUGUAAAGCACUUUCAAUUGGGAGGAAAACCUGCCGGUCAAUACCCGGUAGCUUGACAUUACCUUUAGAAGAAGCACCGGCUAACUCCGUG
rnacentral:rRNA from 1 species